rnacentral:rRNA from 1 species
UACAGAGGGGGGCAAGCGUUUAUUCGGAAUUAUUGGGCGUAAAGGGCGCGUAGGCGGCUUGGCAAGUGGAUGGUGAAAAUCCCCUCGGCUUAACCGAGGAACUGCCGUCCAAACUGCUUUGCUUGAGUACGGAAGAGGCGAGUGGAAUUCCUGGUGUAGCGGUGAAAUGCGCAGAUAUCAGGAGGAACACCAAUUGCGAAGGCAGCUCGCUGGGACGUUACUGACGCUGAGGCACGAAAGCGUGGGGAGCAAACAGG